ACCAGCUUUGUCCAGGAAUGAGCUGCAAUAGGGAGAACUUGGUGCGAUGCUGUGGAACAUAGUUUUACUACUGCAGGGAGUCUGAGGAACUUACCACAAGGAAGGCUGCAAGCAAGAUCUGAAAUGUUUUUGUUUGGAACCUAAGCGAUGCUUGAGGGCAGAAAAUGCACUUCUGAUACUCCAGUCUGCUCAGCCAUCUCCGAUAAAGAAAACCGCCAUCACCACUGCAUCACCAGCCUGUUCCCUGCCGCAGAGCUCCUCUGUCAAAAAAUCAAAUGCUGUUUUAGUCUGAGACCUUGCAUCUCUUUCUUGUCAUAGACCACAGACACUUUACUGAAGAUGCAAGUUAACAGUC